GUUUGCACGAACUUCUGCAGCCUUGGCAGCAAUAAUAUUGGUGGGGACAGCAGCAUCCACAGCACCUCGGAUAUCCAUUUUGGUCAUCUAAACUUCGUAAUCUUGAAUGUCUUUCAACAAAUCUUCAAUUUUGAUGCAAGGUAAAAACAGAAUACGAGGUGUUUCUUUUUUUUACAACUAUUAAUAUUAUGAUUAUGAAUAUCGUGAUCACUUUAAUCUCCCCAGGCAUUCAACUCAAAUAUUAAAUGUCCUAAGUCUGAAAGUAUCAUUAUAUUUCAAAUAUUGUCCACUGCUCCAUAAAAGAGUUCUUUAGGCUUUUGCUUUUCUAGAAAAAUUUUUUUCAUUAUUGGCACUAACACUGCAGUAAGAUUUUUAAAGCAAUCACCUAAUAUACUGAAAUCAGAAAUCAUGAUUAAAUAGAAUAGGUAUAAAUAUGGGAAAAAUUGUAAAUUUAUACAAUUGUGGUUAACUUUUCUCAUAGAGAAACAAUAAGAAUAUGAAUAGUACGGAUAAGGCUAGUUUUAUAAACAUUUACUAAGCAUCAUUUUGAAGUGGCACAUUAAAAAUUCUAAGUCCUUUCGAAAAUUACUCAAAUUAAAAUACACAAAGUGGGAACAUAAUUUCUUAGAAGACAGUGCUUUCCUUUUCAAACAAAAUUCAUAGUAUUUGCAAAAUCAAAAUUCGGAGAGAAAGUUUUAGAACAAAUACAUAUUACAAUUUAGGUAAGCCAACAAUGGCGGUCUGGCUGGACGACAAGAACCUACAAUAAUGAAAUUCUAUGUAAUUCUCACUCCUAAACUUCCAGAUACAAACGACUGAUUUUAACACAAAGCAAAAUACAGGUUGCCACUUGCAAAACAUAAAUUCACGGCCAUGGCCACAAAGAAGUUAAAAUCCUACCCAAAAUUAUAUUCCGGGUUUCCAACGAUCUUAAUCAAUUUGGAACUUAAUCUCUGUAUCUGAAGAUUUGCUGUAUAAACAACCCUGGGCAGCGCGAACGACAGGGCCCAGGAAAAAACAGGCUUCAACUGGGCCAGGCUGGAACUCUGCAGCCAAGGAGGCUCAGCCUCAGCGGCCCGUCCUGGCGUAGCUCAAGGUGUCUCUAGACAAUUACCUAAG
rnacentral:lncRNA from 1 species